rnacentral:rRNA from 1 species
UACGUAGGGUGCGAGCGUUAAUCGGAAUUACUGGGCGUAAAGCGUGCGCAGGCGGUUGGUUAAGUCUGAUGUGAAAGCCCCGGGCUCAACCUGGGAAUGGCAUUUGGGACUGCAAGGCUUGAGUGCGGCAGAGGAGACUGGAAUUCCUGGUGUAGCAGUGAAAUGCGUAGAUAUCAGGAGGAAUACCGAUGGCGAAGGCAGGUCUCUGGGCUGACACUGACGCUCAUGCACGAAAGCGUGGGGAGCAAACAGG